UUGCCCUAGUAACGGCGAGUGAAGCGGCAACAGCUCAAAUUUGAAAUCUGGCCUCGGCCCGAGUUGUAAUUUGCAGAGGAAGCUUUAGGCGCGGCACCUUCUGAGUCCCCUGGAACGGGGCGCCAUAGAGGGUGAGAGCCCCGUAUAGUUGGAUGCCUAGCCUGUGUAAAGCUCCUUCGACGAGUCGAGUAGUUUGGGAAUGCUGCUCAAAAUGGGAGGUAAAUUUCUUCUAAAGCUAAAUACCGGCCAGAGACCGAUAGCGCACAAGUAGAGUGAUCGAAAGAUGAAAAGCACUUUGAAAAGAGGGUUAAAAAGCACGUGAAAUUGUUGAAAGGGAAGCGCUUGUGACCAGACUUGCGCCGGGCUGAUCAUCCGGUGUUCUCACCGGUGCACUCGGCCCGGCACAGGCCAGCAUCGGUUCUCGCGGGGGGAUAAAGGUCCCGGGAACGUAGCUCCUCCGGGAGUGUUAUAGCCCGGGGCGUAAUGCCCUCGCGGGGACCGAGGUUCGCGCAUCUGCAAGGAUGCUGGCGUAAUGGUCAUCAGCGACCCGUCUUGAAACACGGACCAAGGAGUCAAGGUUUUGCGCGAGUGUUUGGGUGUCAAACCCGCACGCGUAAUGAAAGUGAACGUAGGUGAGAGCUUCGGCGCAUCAUCGACCGAUCCUGAUGUUUUCGGAUGGAUUUGAGUAGGAGCGUUAAGCCUUGGACCCGAAAGAUGGUGAACUAUGCUUGGAUAGGGUGAAGCCAGAGGAAACUCUGGUGGAGGCUCGCAGCGGUUCUGACGUGCAAAUCGAUCGUCAAAUCUGAGCAUGGGGGCGAAAGACUAAUCGAACCAUCUAGUAGCUGGUUACCGCCG
rnacentral:rRNA from 1 species